rnacentral:rRNA from 1 species
AGAGUUUGAUCCUGGCUCAGAUUGAACGCUGGCGGAACGCUUUACACAUGCAAGUCGAACGGUAACGUGGGGAGGAGCUUGCUCCGCCCCGACGACGAGUGGCGAACGGGUGAGUAAUACAUCGGAACGUGUCCGCUCGUGGGGGACAACCAGCCGAAAGGUUGGCUAAUACCGCAUGAGUUCUACGGAAGAAAGAGGGGGACCCGCAAGGGCCUCUCGCGAGCGGAGCGGCCGAUGACUGAUUAGCCUGUUGGUGAGGUAACGGCUCACCAAAGCAACGAUCAGUAGCUGGUCUGAGAGGACGACCAGCCACACUGGGACUGAGACACGGCCCAGACUCCUACGGGAGGCAGCAGUGGGGAAUUUUGGACAAUGGGCGCAAGCCUGAUCCAGCUAUUCCGCGUGUGGGAUGAAGGCCCUCGGGUUGUAAACCACUUUUGUAGAGAACGAAAAGACACCAUCGAAUAAAUGGUGUUGCUGACGGUACUCUAAGAAUAAGCACCGGCUAACUACGUGCCAGCAGCCGCGGUAAUACGUAGGGUGCGAGCGUUAAUCGGAAUUACUGGGCGUAAAGGGUGCGCAGGCGGUUGAGUAAGACAGAUGUGAAAUCCCCGAGCUUAACUCGGGAAUGGCAUAUGUGACUGCUCGACUAGAGUGUGUCAGAGGGAGGUGGAAUUCCACGUGUAGCAGUGAAAUGCGUAGAUAUGUGGAAGAACACCGAUGGCGAAGGCAGCCUCCUGGGACAUAACUGACGCUCAGGCACGAAAGCGUGGGGAGCAAACAGGAUUAGAUACCCUGGUAGUCCACGCCCUAAACGAUGUUAACUAGUUGUUGGGAUGUAACAAUCUCAGUAACGCAGCCAACGCGAGAAGUUAACCG